rnacentral:rRNA from 1 species
UACGGGGGGGGUAAGCGUUGUUCGGAAUUACUGGGCGUAAAGGGCUCGUAGGCGGCCAACUAAGUCAGACGUGAAAUCCCUCAGCUUAACUGGGGAACUGCGUCUGAUACUGGAUGGCUUGAAUUUGGGAGAGGGAUGCGGAAUUCCAGGUGUAGCGGUGAAAUGCGUAGAUAUCUGGAGGAACACCGGUGGCGAAGGCGGCAUCCUGGACCAAUAUUGACGCUGAGGAGCGAAAGCCAGGGGAGCAAACGGG